rnacentral:rRNA from 1 species
UAAAGCGGUACGCGAGCUGGGUUCAGAACGUCGUGAGACAGUUCGGUCCCUAUCCGUCGUGGGCGCAGGAAAUUUGAGAGGCGCUGUCCUUAGUACGAGAGGACCGGGAUGGACAUACCCCUGGUGGACCAGUUGUCGUGCCAACGGCAUUGCUGGGUAGCUAUGUAUGGACGGGAUAAGUGCUGAAAGCAUCUAAGCAUGAAGCCCCCCUCAAGAUGAGAUUUCCCAACUUCGGUUAUAAGAUCCCUCAAAGAUGAUGAGGUUAAUAGGUUCGAGGUGGAAGCAUGGUGACAUGUGGAGCUGACGAAUACUAAUCGAUCGAAGACUUAAUCAAAUU